UAGUCCACGCCGUAAACGAUGGAUACUAGGUGUCCGGGAUAUUAACCUCCUGGGUACUACAGUUAACGCGUUAAGUAUCCCGCCUGGGGAGUACGGUCGCAAGGCUAAAACUCAAAGGAAUUGACGGGGGCCCGCACAAGCGGUGGAGUAUGUGGUUUAAUUCGAAGCAACGCGCAGAACCUUACCUACCCUUAACAUUUCACGACGUAUACAGAGAUGUAUAUUUCUCUUCGGAGACGUGAGGAUAGGUGCUGCAUGGCUGUCGUCAGCUCGUGUCGUAAGAUGUCUGGUUAAGUCCAAUAACGAGCGCAACCCUUAUCCUUAGUUACCAGCAUUAAGUUGGGGACUCUAGGGAGACUGCCGGUGUUAAACCGGAGGAAGGCGGGGAUGACGUCAAGUCCUCAUGGCCCUUACGGGUAGGGCUACACACGUGCUACAAUGGCCGUGACAAAGAGUUGCUACUUUGUGAAAACAAGCUAAUCUCAUAAACGCGGCCUCAGUUCGGAUUGCAGGCUGAAACUCGCCUGCA
rnacentral:rRNA from 1 species